rnacentral:sRNA from 2 species
UUAACGCUGGUAAAUUAUAACCUAGGGCUUUUUCGUCGUAACCGCUAGGCCAGGUUUAGCUCCAGUGGCAUGAAGAGGGGAUUGGGUCUUCCGCAUUAUUCUUCACGCGAAACGAAAUCAUUCCAUACGUAAAACCAUAGGGCACGUUGUUUUCAGGAGGCUAAAUCAAUGGACUAACAGUUUGCCUCUAUAUCUGACUAUAUAGAUGUAUACAUCUGCGUGCAUUAUCGAUAUUACACACAAUCGCUGAAAUUGGAAGUUCGCCCGUAGUCAAGAUCAAUGAAUCAAGAGAGGCGCACAGAGGG